rfam:Gossypium raimondii Chr07_contig_1418, whole genome shotgun sequence.
GCGUAAUCAUAUUGCCAUAUUUUUUAAAUUUUAUUUAUACUUUUGCUAAAUAAAUAAUUCGAUGGAGGGUUGUUAGAUCCAAACUUAUAUUUAAAAAUCUUUAUUUCGGUUGUUUUUUUUUUGGUUUAGACAUAGACAUUGUGCUGUUUGAUGAGCUUGCAUAGUAUUAGGUAGUCGGUUAGGUAAAGGCUGACCAAGCCAAUGAUGCUUAGCUGGUCUUUUCAGAUGAUUAGCUACAGUGGGACUGAGACACGACCCGGACUCCCACAUGGGGCAGCAGUGGGGAAUCUUGGACAAUGGGCGAAAGCCCAAUCUAGCAAUAUCGCGUGAGUGAAGAAGGGUAAGGCCCGCUCAUAAAGCUCUUUCGUCGAGUGUGCGAUAAUGACAGGACUCGAGGAAGAAACCUUGGUUAACUCCGUGCCAGCAGGCGCAGUAAGACAGGGGGAGGG